CCUCAUAUAAAUAUUCUCUUUUCGAGCUUACCUAAAAUCCCGUUUUGAAGGGACACAUUUCCAAAAUCACUUAUUGUGAGCCUAACUGGUUAAUACUGGUGGAUAAACUGAACAAGUUAUACAUUUGACAGGGGUUGCAGCCUCAUCCCUAAAUUUCAAGCUAGGUUCACAAUAAAGCGAGCCCUGAAAUCAUGCCAACGAGCCAGCAGAAAUCGUCAAACUGCUCCAAGUGCCGAGAGCCAGCGGAGCUGCUGCUGCUUCUGCUGACAAAGAAGGUAACGUUCAGAAUGAGGUCACUGUGUCAACAUCUCACUCUCAAUGUGAGGCUUCUGUUUGCUCGUUGACAAAAAAUGCAAGGGAAGAGGGUCAGGGGAAUCAUCUGAACUCUGGAGAGAGUGAAGUGGGAGAGGGAGAGAAAGCAACACGAAUAGAAAACAAC